rnacentral:rRNA from 1 species
AGUGAACGCUGGCGGCGUGCCUAAUACAUGCAAGUCGAACGGAGUGGCGCACGGGUGAGUAAUAUAUAGCUAAUCUGCCCCUUGCUGGAGGACAACAGUUAGAAAUGACUGCUAUUACCCCAUAGAAAGGGAUGAGACUAUAACGUAUCAGCUAGUCGGUGGGGUAACGGCCUACCGAGGCUAUGACGCGUAACUGGUCUGAGAGGAUGAUCAGACACAUUGGAACGGAGACACGGUCCGGACUCCUACGGGAGGCAGCAGUAGGGGAUAGUGCGCAGUGGGGGAAACCCUGACGGAGCAACGCCGCGUGGAGGAUGACACUUUUCGGAGCGUAGACUCCUUUUGUUAGGGAAGCGGUACCUAACGAAUAAGCACCGGCUAACUCCGUGCCAGCAGCCGCGGUAAUAC